UGCGGGAUCUGCUAAUGGUAGGCAAACAGGCUCUGAACCUGUGAAUCUAGGUCCGAAUCCUAGUCCCGCAGCCA
rnacentral:tRNA from 1 species